CACGUAGGGCGCAAGCGUUGUCCGGAAUUAUUGGGCGUAAAGAGCUCGUAGGCGGUCUGUUGCGUCCGCUGUGAAAACUCGGGGCUUAACCCCGAGCCUGCAGUGGAUACGGGCAGACUAGAGGUAGGUAGGGGAGAAUGGAAUUCCCGGUGUAGCGGUGAAAUGCGCAGAUAUCGGGAGGAACACCGGGGGGGAAGGCGGUUCCCUGGGGCUUUCCCGGCGCUGGAGAGCGAAAGCGUGGGGAGCGAACAGG
rnacentral:rRNA from 1 species